rnacentral:lncRNA from 1 species
AUGCUGACUGAAAGGAAAAGUUCAGUUUAGGGUUUAAAACCCUAAUGCUGACUAAAGGAAAGUUUUCAGUUUAGGGUUUAAAACCCUAAUGCUAACUAAAUGGAAAAGUUCAGUUUAGGGUUUAAAACCCUAAUGCUGACUAAAUGGAAAAGUUCAGUUUAGGGUUUAAAACCCUAAUGCUGACUGAAUGAAAAAGUUCAGUUUAUUGUUUAAAACUCUAAUGCUGACUAAAGGAAAAGUUCAGUUUAGGGUUUAAAACCCUAAUGCUGACUGAAUGGAAAAGUUCAGUUUAGGGUUUAAACCCUAAUGCUGAUUAAAGGAAAAAGUUCAGUUUAGGGAUUAAAACCCUAAUACUGAUUAAAGGAAAAAGUUCAGUUUAGGGUUUAAAACCCUAAUGCUGACUGAAUAGAAAAAGUUCAGUUUAGGGUUUAAAACCCUAAUGCUGACUAAAGGAAAAAGUUACAGUUUAGGGUAUAAAACCCUAAUGCUGAUUAA